rnacentral:rRNA from 1 species
AGUGAACGCUGGCGGUAGGCCUAACACAUGCAAGUCGAACGGCAGCACAGUAAGGGCUUGCUCUUACGGGUGGCGAGUGGCGGACGGGUGAGGAAUACAUCGGAAUCUACUUUUUCGUGGGGGAUAACGUAGGAAAACUUACGCUAAUACCGCAUACGACCUACGGGUGAAAGCAGGGGAUCUUCGGACCUUGCGCGAUUGAAUGAGCCGAUGUCGGAUUAGCUAGUUGGCGGGGUAAAGGCCCACCAAGGCGACGAUCCGUAGCUGGUCUGAGAGGAUGAUCAGCCACACUGGAACUGAGACACGGUCCAGACUCCUACGGGAGGCAGCAGUGGGGAAUAUUGGACAAUGGGCGCAAGCCUGAUCCAGCCAUACCGCGUGGGUGAAGAAGGCCUUCGGGUUGUAAAGCCCUUUUGUUGGGAAAGAAAAGCAGCAGGUUAAUACCCCGCUGUUCGGACGGGACCCAAAGAAUAAGCACCGGCUAACUUCGU